UGGGGAAUUUUGCACAAUGGGGGAAACCCUGAUGCAGCGACGCCGCGUGAUUUAGAAGGCCUUCGGGUUGUAAAAAUCUUUUGUAUAGGAAGAAAAUGACAGUACUAUACGAAUAAGGACCGGCUAAUUACGUGCCAGCAGCCGCGGUAAUACGUAAGGUCCGAGCGUUGUCCGGAAUCAUUGGGCGUAAAGCGAGCGCAGGCGGUUAGAUAAGUCUGAAGUUAAAGGCAGUGGCUCAACCAUUGUAGGCUUUGGAAACUGUUUAACUUGAGUGCAGAAGGGGAGAGUGGAAUUCCAUGUGUAACGGUGAAAUGCGUAGAUAUAUGGAGGAACACCGGUGGCGAAAGCGGCUCUCUGGUCUGUAACUGACGCUGAGGCUCGAAAGCGUGGGUAGCAAACAGG
rnacentral:rRNA from 1 species